rnacentral:rRNA from 1 species
UACGGGGGGAGCAAGCGUUGUUCGGAUUUACUGGGCGUAAAGGGCGCGUAGGCGGCCACUGCAAGUCAGUUGUGAAAUCUCCGGGCUUAACCCGGAAAGGUCAGCCGAAACUGCGGGGCUAGAGUGCAGAAGGGGCAACUGGAAUUCUCGGUGUAGCGGUGAAAUGCGUAGAUAUCGAGAGGAACACCUGCGGCGAAGGCGGGUUGCUGGGCUGACACUGACGCUGAAGCGCGAAAGCUAGGGGAGCGAACGGG